rnacentral:rRNA from 1 species
GACGAACGCUGGCGGCGUGCCUAAUACAUGCAAGUCGAGCGGAGUUUUUAAAAGCUUGCUUUUAAAAACUCAGCGGCGGACGGGUGAGUAACACGUGGGCAACCUGCCCUGUAGACUGGGAUAACUUCGGGAAACCGAAGCUAAUACCGGAUAAUCAUAGAAGUUGCAUAGCUUCUAUGUAAAAGUUGGGUUUACCUAACACUACAGGAUGGGCCCGCGUCGCAUUAGCUAGUUGGUAAGGUAACGGCUUACCAAGGCGACGAUGCGUAGCCGACCUGAGAGGGUGAUCGGCCACACUGGGACUGAGACACGGCCCAGACUCCUACGGGAGGCAGCAGUAGGGAAUCUUCCGCAAUGGACGAAAGUCUGACGGAGCAAACGCCCGCGUGAGCGAUGAAAGGGCCUUUCGGGUCGUAAAAGCUCUGUUGUUAAGGG